UGUGUUCAGGCACCAGUUCCAGAUACUUACAGGGGAAAAUACAGAGAAGACCACGCAGACGCAGCCCGUGCGUAUGCAGAGGAAGUAAAGAAAAUUAUUGAAGAAGCUCAUAACAGUGGGAGGAAGAUUGCUGCCUUUAUUGCUGAAUCCAUGCAGAGUUGUGGCGGA